rnacentral:siRNA from 1 species
UAUGAGGAGCCAUGCAUAUCC